UUUUGUGUUUCUCAAAUCAUUGUUGUCCCCAUCAAUAUUAGUACUGUUUGCAGUCACGCAAAAUUGGUAAAUUUCAGACUCUUGUUACAACGAUGGUUGUAACAAGUUGCUAAAGGAUGCUCCAAUGAGCCGAACAAAAAUGAGCCAAAGAGUUUCCACAGGUUUCCUUUUAAACGCCCAGAUAUUUUGGAACUUUGGAUUACUGCUGUAGGAAGGGAAAAUUGGUAUCCCUCAAAGUAUAGUAGAAUAUGUGAAGAUUACCUUCAUAAUCCAAGUUAUACAAAAAAAAUAUUGAAACUUGAUGCUGUACCAAGUGUAUUCAAUAAUAUCCCAAGACAUUCAAGGAUCAUGGAAUACUUACAGUUCCAUCACUCUUCAUAUACAACUCACUGUGUUAUGUGCAUCAGAACUGGAAGAACUUUCCGACCAAUUCUAUAAAUCAUGCAUAUGAAACAAGAAAUAAAGACUCCUUGCAGAUUCCAGUGCACCAUCUGAAGCGCAUACACCAGGGCAUGGACUUCUGCGGCCCCAAACUAUAUAAUAAAUUUCCUUCUGAGUUUCAUGACAAGUCCUAGAUGAACUUUAGGAGAGAAGUGAAAAGGUUGCUUUUAAAUGAAACUAUAUAUUCUAUAGAAGUUCUUAUCGAGAAAGAAUAUGUGAUGAGAUUUGUUUUUUAUUUUUAUUGUGUUUGUAUGCAUGUUGUUACCACUGUGAUAUUUUAUAUUUGUUUAUUACUGUCGGCACCAUUUGUAAUAUUAAUUGCAAACGAAGAUCCCUUUAACCUAAUCUAAUCCGAUGAGAAGCAGAGCACAUGUAAGUUUUCGAGUGAAUUUAAAUUAUUUGAAAUCAAUAAUUUUCUUUUUCAUUGUAGACUAUUACUGAAGAUAUAUGUAAACUAUUUUAUAUAUUGUAUAUAAUAAAAAUAUAGAAAGAA